rnacentral:rRNA from 1 species
CGCUUCAUCGAGCGUGAAAUCGAGUAGGGCGGGACACGUGAUAUCCUGUCUGAAUAUGGGGGGACCAUCCUCCAAGGCUAAAUACUCCUGACUGACCGAUAGUGAACCAGUACCGUGAGGGAAAGGCGAAAAGAACCCCUGUGAGGGGAGUGAAAUAGAACCUGAAACCGUGUACGUACAAGCAGUAGGAGCACCUUCGUGGUGUGACUGCGUACCUUUUGUAUAAUGGGUCAGCGACUUAUAUUCAGUGGCAAGGUUAACCGUAUAGGGGAGCCGUAGCGAAAGCGAGUCUUAACUGGGCGCUCAGUCUCUGGAUAUAGACCCGAAACCGGGUGAUCUAGCCAUGGGCAGGUUGAAGGUUGAGUAACAUCAACUGGAGGACCGAACCGACUAAUGUUGAAAAAUUAGCGGAUGACUUGUGGCUAGGGGUGAAAGGCCAAUCAAACUCGGAGAUAGCUGGUUCUCCCCGAAAGCUAUUUAGGUAGCGCCUCGGACGAAUACUACUGGGGGUAGAGCACUGUUAAGGCUAGGGGGUCAUCCCGACUUACCAACCCUUUGCAAACUCCGAAUACCAGUAAGUACUAUCCGGGAGACACACGGCGGGUGCUAACGUCCGUCGUGGAGAGGGAAACAACCCAGACCGCCAGCUAAGGUCCCAAAGUAUUGCUAAGUGGGAAACGAUGUGGGAAGGCUCAGACAGCUAGGAUGUUGGCUUAGAAGCAGCCAUCAUUUAAAGAAAGCGUAAUAGCUCACUAGUCGAGUCGGCCUGCGCGGAAGAUGUAACGGGGCUAAGCAAUACACCGAAGCUGCGGCAAUGUCUUUUAGACAUUGGGUAGGGGAGCGUUCUGUAAGCCGUUGAAGGUGAAUCGUAAGGUUUGCUGGAGGUAUCAGAAGUGCGAAUGCUGACAUGAGUAACGACAAAGGGGGUGAAAAACCUCCUCGCCGGAAGACCAAGGGUUCCUGUCCAACGUUAAUCGGGGCAGGGUGAGUCGACCCCUAAGGUGAGGCCGAAAGGCGUAAUCGAUGGGAAACGGGUUAAUAUUCCCGUACUUCUGACUAUUGCGAUGGGGGGACGGAGAAGGCUAGGUGGGCCAGGCGACGGUUGUCCUGGUUCAAGUGCGUAGGCUUGAGAGUUAGGUAAAUCCGGCUCUCUCUAAGGCUGAGACACGACGUCGAGCUACUACGGUAGUGAAGUCAUUGAUGCCAUGCUUCCAGGAAAAGCCUCUAAGCUUCAGAUAGUCAGGAAUCGUACCCCAAACCGACACAGGUGGUCGGGUAGAGAAUACCAAGGCGCUUGAGAGAACUCGGGUGAAGGAACUAGGCAAAAUGGUACCGUAACUUCGGGAGAAGGUACGCUCUUGAUGGUGAAGUCCCUCGCGGAUGGAGCUGACGAGAGUCGCAGAUACCAGGUGGCUGCAACUGUUUAUUAAAAACACAGCACUGUGCAAAAUCGCAAGAUGACGUAUACGGUGUGACGCCUGCCCGGUGCCGGAAGGUUAAUUGAUGGGGUUAGCGCAAGCGAAGCUCUUGAUCGAAGCCCCGGUAAACGGCGGCCGUAACUAUAACGGUCCUAAGGUAGCGAAAUUCCUUGUCGGGUAAGUUCCGACCUGCACGAAUGGCGUAAUGAUGGCCACGCUGUCUCCACCCGAGACUCAGUGAAAUUGAAAUCGCUGUGAAGAUGCAGUGUACCCGCGGCUAGACGGAAAGACCCCGUGAACCUUUACUACAGCUUGGCACUGAACAUUGAACCUACAUGUGUAGGAUAGGUGGGAGGCUAUGAAGACGUGACGCCAGUUGCGUUGGAGCCGUCCUUGAAAUACCACCCUUGUAUGUUUGAUGUUCUAACUUAGACCCAUUAUCUGGGUUGAGGACAGUGCCUGGUGGGUAGUUUGACUGGGGCGGUCUCCUCCCAAAGAGUAACGGAGGAGCACGAAGGUGGGCUAAUCACGGUUGGACAUCGUGAGGUUAGUGCAAUGGCAUAAGCCCGCUUAACUGCGAGAAUGACGGUUCGAGCAGGUGCGAAAGCAGGUCAUAGUGAUCCGGUGGUUCUGUAUGGAAGGGCCAUCGCUCAACGGAUAAAAGGUACUCCGGGGAUAACAGGCUGAUACCGCCCAAGAGUUCAUAUCGACGGCGGUGUUUGGCACCUCGAUGUCGGCUCAUCACAUCCUGGGGCUGAAGUCGGUCCCAAGGGUAUGGCUGUUCGCCAUUUAAAGUGGUACGCGAGCUGGGUUUAGAACGUCGUGAGACAGUUCGGUCCCUAUCUGCCGUGGGCGUUGGAAGAUUGAAGGGGGCUGCUCCUAGUACGAGAGGACCGGAGUGGACGAACCUCUGGUGUUCGGGUUGUGUCGCCAGACGCAUUGCCCGGUAGCUAAGUUCGGAAUUGAUAAGCGCUGAAAGCAUCUAAGCGCGAAGCGAGCCCUGAGAUGAGUCUUCCCUGACAGUUUAACUGUCCUAAAGGGUUGUUCGAGACUAGAACGUUGAUAGGCAGGGUGUGUAAGCGUUGUGAGGCGUUGAGCUAACCUGUACUAAUUGCCCGUGAGGCUUAACCAUACAACACCCAAGGGGUUUUGUA